rnacentral:rRNA from 1 species
GCGUAAAGCGCGCGUAGGCGGUUUGGUCAGUUGGAUGUGAAAGCCCCGGCUUAACCUGGGAACUGCAUUCAAUACUGCCAGACUAGAGUACGAGAGAGGGGGGUAGAAUUUCUAGUGUAGCGGUGAAAUGCGUAGAUAUUAGAAGGAAUACCAGUGGCGAAGGCGGCCCCCUGGCUCGAUACUGACGCUGAGGUGCGAAAGCGUGGGAGCAAACAGGAUUAGAUACCCUGGUAGUCCACGCCGUAAACGAUGUCUGCCUAGCCGUUGGCGACUUUAAGUUGCUAGUGGCGAAGCUAACGCAAUAAGCAGACCGCCUGGGGAGUACGGCCGCAAGGUUAAAACUCAAAUGAAUUGACGGGGGCCCGCACAAGCGGUGGAGCAUGUGGUUUAAUUCGAUGCAACGCGGAGAACCUUACCAGGUCUUGACAUCCCGAGAAAUCGCUAGAGAUAGCUUUGUGCUUCGGGAACUCGGUGACAGGUGCUGCAUGGCUGUCGUCAGCUCGUGUCGUGAGAUGUUGGGUUAAGUCCCGUAACGAGCGCAACCCUUGUCCUUAGUUGCUAGCAGGUUAUGCUGAGAACUCUAAGGAGACUGCCGGUGACAAACCGGAGGAAGGUGGGGACGACGUCAAGUCAUCAUGGCCCUUACGACCUGGGCUACACACGUGCUACAAUGGUCAGUACAAAGGGCUGCAAUACCGCGAGGUGGAGCUAAUCCCAUAAAACUGAUCGUAGUCCGGAUUGGAGUCUGCAACUCGACUCCAUGAAGUCGGAAUCGCUAGUAAUCGUAGAUCAGAAUGCUACGGUGAAUACGUUCCCGGGCCUUGUACACACCGCCCGUCACACCAUGGGAGUGGGUUGCUCCAGAAGUGGCUAGUCUAACUUCGGGAAGACGGUCACCACGGAGUGAUUCAUGACUGGGGUGUAGUCGUAACAAGGUUACCG